CUGGAUUCCAAGCUGAUGGCCAGUCUACCCUGUUCUCACUACAGUGAUAGUUGAUAGGGCAUCUCUUCAAACUGCAAUCAAUAUUUCUCUAGGUAACUGUUUGUUGUGUAUUACCUAGCUCUAGAAACACUGAUCAGCCACAACAUUAAAAGCACUGACGGGUGACGUGAUUAAAGGACCACUAAAGUGCCAGGAAAACAUACUCGUUUUCCUGGCACUAUAGUGCCCUGAGGGUGCCCCCACCCUCAGGGACCCCCUCCCGCCGGGCUCUGGGGAGAGGAAGGGGUUAAAAUCUUACCUUUCUCCAGCGCCGGGCGGGGAGCUCUCCUCUCCGCCUCUUCUCCUCUUCUU